UACGGGGGGGCAAGCGUUGUUCGGAAUUACUGGGCGUAAAGGGCUCGUAGGUGGCCAACUAAGUCAGACGUGAAAUCCCUCAGCUUAACUGGGGAACUGCGUCUGAUACUGGAUGGCUUGAGUUUGGGAGAGGGAUGCGGAAUUCCCGGUGUAGAGGUGAAAUUCGUAGAUAUCGGGAGGAACACCGGUGGCGAAGGCGGCGAUCUGGGUAGAUACUGACGCUGAGGUGCGAAAGCGUGGGGAGCAACAGG
rnacentral:rRNA from 1 species